rnacentral:sRNA from 1 species
ACACUUCACCAAAGCCGCCAUGUUUUGUUACAACGCUCUAACCCACUUGAUUAACAACGAAGCCUAAUCAAGCAUGGGCUUCCGACGAUGCAUGACGGGUGUUCUUAGAAAAUUAAUAGGAAUUUGUUGAUUGUUUACUACUAUUUUGACAAGCUUUCUUGCAAAAAAUUAAGGUUUCUGUCUUGGGUCGAUCUGCUUUGAUUCGCCAUUACCAGAUAACAGCGAUGAAGCAAUGCAAUGGAUCCAAACGAAAAACUAUACUUUUUACUAGAAAAUCAUGCUAAAUUUUGGAUUGUUAUUUCGUCAUGCAACGUUAAUUUUUCAUUUGUACAUUUGUAUUUUGACAUAUUUAUGUAUUGUGUUUAACAUAAAUAUACAGAAGACAUUGUAUUGAGUAUAUAGAAACAUACAUAUAUAUACUAAUUAAAUGUUCGUGUCUGUCCUAGCUCUUUCAAUCAUCCAACUCUUUCCCUCUUGUAUAUGUUUAUUGAAUGUUGUAUGUACAUCGGAUGUUGUAUGUACAGUCUUCAUGUUGCCCCUUGAGGGCCCUUAAUUGGUAAAUAAAGAAAUUGAAAUUGU